GAAUCUUUUUUGAAAGCCUUGGGCAACAAUGACCCCAUUUUUACAAGAGAUUUAGGGAUGAUGGAGACCCAGAUAACACAGUGAUGUGUGCUACAGAAAUGCAUGAAUACCUACUAAUUAAGAAAACUUUAUAACAGCUUCUGAACUGGGAGCCAAUAGGGAGUCAAAGGGUUGGUGGUUUCACUGAACCUCCAUGGCUGCCACUACAAAUCCCACAAGAACACGUUCUCUUGCAACCCUCUGGCACUGCCAUUGCGAAGAGCAAACGAGCUCAGCAAUUUAGAUACUGUAUUCAACUUAAGGUCAUUUCCAAGGUCUUAGGAAGUGACCUGAAAAUUUGCCCUUUUAUUUUAUCCUAGUCAAUUCAAUCAUCCCUGAAGAGGAUUCUGGGUCUGUAAAAAAGUGCUUUCAAGUUGUGAUUUCUAGAAGUUCUCCAAGACUAAAUUAUUUACAUGUGUGCUCUCAGUGAGUCUAGAUAUAUUAGAUCCUCUGCAUGGGAAAUACAUUGACACGAGCUGUUUGCAUCUUGGUUCUCCUAGUACAGCAUUUCAAAUAAGCUCCAUGUAAGAGAAUCCUUGAGUCACCACAAAGGACUAGUCUCUUAAGGCAGAUAAAUGAACUCCUCACUCAGAAACUGGACUUUGUACUAGGCCACCUUCACAACACUAAAGAAAAACAAAUGGAAAAAUGUGGCUGUGAAAUACGACACUAGACUACUACACUCAUUUCUAGUUUGUGAUGUAGGAAUGUGGAUUACGGACAAUUAGGAAUGUUCUCACGGGUGACUGGAUCAGGGACAUUGGGUUCAUAACCAAUUGACUGAUCUUUGGCCCAUCUCCUGUGAAUCCCAAUAAAAGGUCCCAAUUGUGAUGGUGAUUUUUACAACAAGGAAAGCCUUUAGGGAUGGAUUAUAAAAAACAACAACAUGCAUUUAUUCAGCAAAGCACUUAACAACGUGCUCCAGUCCUGCUGAAUCGCUGCUUGGGAACUGACCUGAUAUUACCAAAUUUCACACAGAACAAUAAAUGGCCAACAAUUUGAGCCCAUUCCCAACCUGACAUAGAGAAGAGUCCUUGACCUAGUGGAGAAAGAACUCUAUACCCUAUUAACCCUCACAGUCCCACCCCUCCCCUCCUAUUCCCCUAGAUUAUUUGAUCAGGAAAAGCCUAGGAUAUCUUGUGUUUGUAGCUGUGCGCCUGCCUUUAUUUUUUCCCUAACACAGGUUAUGGGGGGAGUUUGUUAAAAAAAAAUGUAAUCUCUCCUCAAGUUAAAGGGGUGUUAGGUGCCUUUGAAAAAUCUCACCCCUUAGCUACAAGAUCUGUGACAGUACGUUGUGCAGGCAACUCUUAAUUAGUCAGUAUGAUAGAACUGAGAUCAAUGAGUACGUUCAUACACUGCCUAAUACGGUCUCACUCUUUCCUUGUGCUCCCCCACCCCCACCCCGACUGUAUCCACCUGUCUGUAAGGCAAGGACUGUCUUUAAGUAUCAAUCUUUGUUCUAUGUCUAUACAGCACAGUACAGUCUGGAUCCAUGAACGAUGCUCCGAAGUGCUACCACAAUACAACACAAUAGCCACAGCAGUUGCUCUCGGUCGCUUCAUUCCCAGAGCUCCCCGCAGGAUCCAGAACAGCGACCACAUGUGAGCCGCAUAUUUAAGCGGAGAUGGUGGGCAGUUGUUACCAAUGUGUCUGUGUUAACCCCUUGGAGAUAGUCAUCACUCAUGUUGCUGGCAAAGGCUGGAUGGAAAAUGCCAGUAUUCAAAGUGUUAAGUAGCUCAGUUGGCGAGCCACUGGUUCCACAGAACUGGAACAUCACCUUUUCAGAGCGUUGCAGGAAGAGGAAGUCUGCCUCUUUGAUCACAAGGAUUUGGUUGCAGUCAAGCUGCGGAAUAGCCUUGUAAACGCCUGAUGGUCUGGAAUACAUUAUAACCAAUGGUAAGCAACCAGUCGGAGGAAAUGUUCAGAUAAGAGAGAGAUGGGUACCAGUACAAGAACCCAGACAGACAAAAACACUAGUCAUUAGAACUUGAAAGCAAAUUUCAAUUCAACCAUAUUUUCUACCCUACUGUAUUUCCUUUAUGUGAAUUUUUGUGCCUUCAAGCUUUACUAGUACAAAUACGUCCAAAAGCCUAAUUGUGAGCUUGACUAGAAUAUUCUUGGAAAAGACAUUUAAAUGUUUGUGUUCACUGGUAAAGUUCGCAAUUUCCAAUCUGUGUUGUGUUGCUUAUAUACCAGAGUCAUCCAAUCAGAGAUCAGAAAGAGCACAGUUUGACUUUUGUAACUAAGCAACAUAGCACAAACUGCAAAUUGUGAAUAUUCACAAUUUGACAAAAUAUUUUAUUUGUUGUCUAUUAAUUUCUUUCGGAAAAAAUGUGAGGAUUUCACUUUUUGUUCAAGGGACAAGUUGCAAAUGAGAUUAAAAAAACAAUCAAAUAAAUUAUGUAUGGACCAAUUAUUUGCUCACCUCUAUAUACAACAUUAUGGCUGGCCUCUGAUAUUAACGGAAACAUGACUUCCCAAGUGCUGUUUAGUUGCAGUAAUAAAACAGCAUGUAGCUGAAGCCAGUAACUGCUAUUACUGUAAACACAGAGUGACUGAUUUAAUGGCACCUUCCGUUCUUGGUGAACUUGUCCUUUGUAGAAGUAGCAAGCACAAAGGAUUGCUUAGAACCAGAACUGUGCAGAAGGGAGCAUGCGUUUAAUACAGAAGGUGGCUUUUGCUGUAAACUUGUACAAAUUGAAACUGAAAAAUAUACUGCAUGUUUAUUUUGUGUUGGUUUUUUCUUAAUUAGAUCAAAGGAUGCUGUUCAUAAAAUGUUCGGCCCAAAACAUAACCUCACUCUGCUAGCCAUAAAUGGGAUUCAUUUAGCAAAGCAACUUAGAGCAAUCACAUUUCCACCCACACACUUUGAAGAGGACACAGUUUAAGUUUGAAAAUGAAUAAUUAACUAACUAUGAGUUAGUAUACCAAUGUUUUCCACUUUCAGGAAAAACAGUGGUCUUUCUCCUGGCUCCAGUUACCAUAGAACGAUCAACGUUUAUAGAAAUCAAGGAGGAGAUGUGCCAUGCGUGUUAAUAAUUGACUCCUGCACUCAAUGAAAAUUCCAAACCUGAGUGUGGCAGAGUAAGAAACAGCAGGUAACAGUGUGUGACUUCACAUCACUGUUUCCCCACCUAAAUAACUGACGCAAAAGGAAAUAGACUAAUUAGAGGCAGACCCAAUCCAAAAAUUUGGAUUCCAACAAGCACAAACACUGCAGCUCAGAUCCUCCUCUGCUUCUAAUUGAACUAGUACCUUCAAGGCUCUAACUGAAAACAAACUCUUUGGAAGUCUCCUUCCACUUUUAUUGACCGAAGAACCCAUUGUGACUGUAGUCUAAUGCUUAAAGGAGGGAUGGGACUGGGCGUUAAGUCUGUUACAGAGCAGGCAAUACAGUUUAGGAGGCUUAUGCGACAUUGGGCGCUUAGACCCAGAUCUACAAAGGGACUUGGGCAACUUUAGCCCAGAUUUGCAAUCCACAAAACUCCCACUCAGCUCCAUCUAAUCUUAAAUUCACUUGGCACCUCAAUUUUCACCAAACCCUCAAUUCCCAUAGGAACCUAGGUUUCUGCCUCUGGAUAUGCCCACCACUGCCUCAGGUAGGCAUCCAGAAUGCCCAUCUCCCAUCUCAUCCCCAGCAUGACCCACAAGCCAGGUGAAGAUAGGUGGAACAGCGCCUAUCUUGCCUGUGGGCCCAGAUCCAGUAGGUGUUCUCGAGCACACCUACCUUUGCACAAAAUGGCCAAGGAGUGGCGGGAAGGAAGAGGCAGUCUCUCUUAUAAACUUUAGUCCACUGGUUAGGGCAGCGGUUUUCAACCUUUUUUCAUUUGCGGACCCCUAAAAAAUUUCGAAUGGAGAUGUGAACCCCAUUGGAAAUCUUAGAUAUAGUCUGCGGAUCCCCAGGGGUAUGCGGAUCACAGGUUGAAAACCACUGGGUUAGGGAACUCACCCAAGCUAUGGAAGACCCUGGUUCAAUUUCCUCAUCUGACUAAAGAGGAGACAAGUGAGUGCUCUGACCACUGGAUUAUGGAGUCAGUCUCACAUUCUGUCUCUAGGCCCAGUAACUAUGGAAGCCAUUCCACUUUAUAUGAAUAAUUCAACAAGAGAGCAUGAGAGAGACCCACAUCGGAAUAGCCCAUAUUCCAGUGGUCAGGUGACAUGAGAUAUAUUUUACAUUCUGUAGGAUUAGGAUAAGUAAUAACGACCCAUUGGUUGCUCAAAUCAACAUCCAACUAUGCUUGAUUUUUAAGAUUGUUGCUCAAAAUCCAAACCCUUACCUGAAUUCUGCAAAUGUCCCCAAUCUUUAUAAUGGGCCAAACUCCUACACCAACCUUUUUGGUGUUUAACUCAUGCUGCAUAUUUGGGACCCAGGUAUCAAUCUCUAAUAUUAAUGCCAUAUUUAAUAAGCUAAAACUGUUGUUAGUACCGUAAAGCCUCCUCUCACCCCAGUUUUUAGAAAGCUGCAGAGUCUUCAAUUCUUGGACUAUUUCUGGGACUGACGAAUAACCUCUCGAUAGCUAUAGCUAUCAUCUAAAUAACAUGGUGAUGUAUCAACUAGAGAGGCCAGCCACGAGGAAACCUAGUGACAGCCUUGCUAGCAUGAACUUUGCACUUUGGCUUGAGCUAUGGUAUCAGAGCGGCGUUAACCCAGAGUCUCUGUUAUUAGUUAUACCAUCGGUGGCAAACCCGAAGAAAAGGGAUUAUGGGAGAGAUGGAAAAUUGAAUUACUUUAACUGACCACCCUCAGAGCCAUCAUGUGGCACCAUUUUCAGUAGCCAUUGAUGGAAAGACCACAUCAUUGCAAUCCCUCUUUGGGGGCUGACCUGAGCACAACCUACCUCCAUAAAUUACAUCAAUGUAGUUACAACAGUUCACAUUUCCCUACUCGAGGCAAUCCCUUUGUAUACAGUGACUAAGUCUUUAACCCAAAAAAAAUGGCUUUCAGGAGUUCAUUCAGAAAACUGGGGAGGUAUGAAAACCUUUCCAUGAAAUGCAGCACUACCUGAAAUUCAAGGAGAUGUUUGCAUUUCCUUAAAAGCCUUUGCACUGUAAAUUUCACAUUUUUUGAUAGGGAGAAAAUAAUUAGCCUGAUUUCCAUUGAAGACAGGCCCAGUUCUGUAUUGUCAGUUUUGAUUUCACCAUCAAUAUGUAAAAAUAUAGGUGAUGUUAACACAGUCAUGUACAUGUACAAUAUUUCAGUCUGGCCUUCACCGCUAUAUUUAAUUGCAUGAAAUAAAAUAAUGCUAUGCAUUAGUACACUUACCGUGUUCACUGUUAAAAAAACAAUUAAUAAUUAGAGUAAAAUUUAAUAAAAACACAAAAAAAGUUAAAUGUAAAAUCCAUAUAGCAGGGGGUUACCAGAGAGUGUGAUGACCCAAUAAAUUAUUAAGUGACCACAAGCCAGACAAUGCAGAGGGAUCCCAAGGAUAACGAUUCACCAGUUUGUAGGCUCCCCCCUCUCCCACGAAUAUACACCGUAUCUGAACUGGAAUAAAGUCAGGGAACGAGCUAUUUAAAACUUGGCCAAACACUGAGCUUUCUCCCCAUAUAUAUAUCAAUAUAUUUAACAGAGAUGGAAUACCAGAUAACGCUGAUCUGGUGACGGUUUGCCAUCAGCUGACUGCUUAGUAGAUCUGGUCAGGAAACCAGAAUUUCCGUUCCAUAGGAAAUCCCAAUAUUUUGAAAAAAAAUUCUGUUCCAAAUUGGAAUAAAGAGCUACGUUUUCCAGCAAAAUGACAAUGCUAGGAAAAAAAUGAUUUGGAAAUAUUUAUCAAAACGAAGCAUUUUUACCUUAUGGUAUUUCAACAUGAAACAAAAUAUUUACGUAACAUUUAAUAAAAUGUGGACGUUAAAAUGAAAUGAUUAUUUUAUAUUAUAAUGUAUAUUAAUACACAUUAAAUGUAUGCUAUAGUAAUUUUAAGUCUAAACAAAAGGAAUCAAUGUUCUCCAAAUUACAUUUUUCCUGUCAAAACUUUUGCUGAAAUUGACAUACUCCUGAAAAAAGUCAGAUUUUGAUGAAAAUGCAUUUUUCAACAGAAAACGACUCCGUCACAUGUUUUUACCAGCUCAACUAAUUAGUUUUGAGAAGCAGUAGAUGCAGUACAAACACCGAGAUGUUUGAUUCACUCACUUAACAAAAGCUAUCUAAACUUUAAGACGCUGUCGGUGCAAUGACAAACUUAAUCAUUCCCCUUAGUGAUGGCUCUGAUGGUUCUUAUUUUUCACAUCGGACUGCUUGUUGCUUAUAGAGCACUGCCUGUUGAUAACAGCGAGGCAGUUGCAAGCUGCACUGUAUACCACCCCAUUAGCCUACAGGAAAGCAUGCUCAUAUCACCAUUAUCUAGUACUAUCACCUGACACAAUUUGUUUGUCUCUUCCACUUUUUGCAUCUUGUCAUUAACCAAGAUCAAGGGGUCUUUGGGGCAGACACUGUCUUGUUACUACAAGAGGCCACUGUGCUAUGUGCUGGAUCACAGCUUCAUGUAAAGAGCUGUGCAGAAUAAGACAUCUCUCCCGUGUAGAGCACUCCUAUAACACACCACUGUUCCUAACUGGUGCCUCGAAGUGCUAUUGCAAUAUUAAUAACAACAACAGUGAUAUGCGCAUGAUAAAUCCAUGGAUAGAUCACAUUAGAUGGAGCCAGCAAUCAAGUAAUAAUAUUCUGGUUUUGUAUGUAUGAUGCUAUGUGUUGGGUCAGUGUCAAAUUAUUAUGAAUUGCUAUGACUGAUAUGAAUGUGGUAAGCAUGAGUUUGGUAUGGCUUGGUAUGUCGGAAUCUGCUAGAGGAUUCUGGGAGCAGGAUUCUCUUAGCAUUAGAUAAAUGGUGUGGAAAAUUACUGGCAGUGCUAAAACAGCACCUGAAUGGUUAAUAAAGGCUCAAUCUGUGUGUGUGUUUCAACAUCGAACUUUGGAAGAUCAGCAAGGGAACCAGCUCACGUAAAAUCAUGCAAUCAGUGGGCUUAGUACAAGCUGACCUGGGUCAAAAUGACCACUCUGGGUGGCAUCACGGGAAGAGCUUAAGUGAAUAAUUGAUAAGAGGGUGAUUGAACUUUGGUCUGUGUCUGCUUUGCAGUCCCUUCCAAAAUAUUAAUUAAAGAAAAUCAGUAAUAAGACACCCACAAGCCAUAUUUCUGGGACAUGUGACUCCGUUAAGCAAAGGCAAAUGCUAAGCAAAGUAAAUUAGUUAAUUGGGGAACUAACUUAACAUCUGAAGACAGAAGUCCUCAGGAUGACACUUGACGGACCAAGUAGCUGAGAGGGGAAAAGAAGAGAAGGCUUCUCCAUCUAGAAUUGGUAGAUAAACCUGCUUUGUUUGCCGAUCAGGAUACUGUGUAAGGCUAACAUAGUU